rnacentral:rRNA from 1 species
GACCUCAUAUCAGGUAGGACUACCCGCUGAACUUAAGCAUAUCAAUAAGCGGAGGA